CCCAACUACCCCGAGUCCCCCACCUCCCUCCACCUUCCUCCCAUCCUACCCUGCUCUUCCGAACUGCCACAGCCCCGCGGCACUAGGCACGCCGCCUUCCUCCGCUCACCGGCGAGUCGUGGCUUUUCUCCUCAUGCCCCUAGGACACUCUCUUCGCGGGUCGAUGCUGAAUCUAGGAUUGGGUGGCCCUCCACUACUGGAUCCAGGCCAUGGCGUCCCCUCGCGAUGCCCCGUCCGUGGAUCCGGAACUAAACGCUGCACGUGCGCCUACCAGCGAGCGCGGCCUCCCGUACACGCGGCGGCUACCACGGGAUGACCAUGGGAUGCCCCAUGCAACGGCUACCAUCAUGUACCCCUCCCACGCCGACGAAGCUAACGGCGGAGAUACUCCUCCUACGAACUCACCCCCGACCAUCUCGGCCUCUAUGGCCCUCCUUUCAUGUCCCUUCAUCGAUCCGGCGGGAUCCAUGUCGUUCUCUCCCUUCCUCGAUCUGGCGAGCUCCAUGCCAUCUACCUCUGUGAGAUUCGGCGAGCUAUAGGCCAUCCCUUGUUGUUGUGGGGUGGCUUCCGAGAUGCCACGGCACUCUGCCUCAAGAUCCCCUCCACCCCGUCACCUCCACCUCCACAGCGGAUCCCUGGAUUUCACCAAGCUUAAUUCUUCUCCGUGACGAGGAUUCCAUGCUCCCUACCCCCGAACCACACAUCCAGGAGCUCGUUUUAGCCCACGGCAGCCUCCGUGCGUACGGAACCACCAGUCUUCCUUCGAAUCGUGGCAUGCAGUAUGGAUCAUGUGAACACGCAGUGCAAAUGGUGCAUUUUUUGUUUGAGGAUUUUGUGCAUAAAAAUUACAGGGACUCAUUUUGUCUUGGCGACAAGACUACAUUCAAAAAAUACAGUUUGAAGUAUGUGCACAUGUAGUGUAGUCGGUGCUUUUUCUGUUUGGGGCAUAAAAAUUACAGGGACUCAUUUGAUUGCAGUUCCUUGGAAAACAUAGUGAUGUUCAUACUUUAGCAUGCAGUUUGGACGAUGUGCACAUGGAAUGGAAUGUAAAAUAGUGUUUUUCCA